rnacentral:rRNA from 1 species
GAUGAACGCUGGCGGCGUGCCUGAUACAUGCGAGUCGAGCGAACGGACGAGAAGCUUGCUUCUCUGAUGUUAGCGGCGGACGGGUGAGUAACACGUGGAUAACCUACCUAUAAGACUGGGAUAACUUCGGGAAACCGUAGCUAAUACCGGAUAAUAUUUUGAACCGCAUGGUUCAAAAGUGAAAGACGGUCUUGCUGUCACUUAUAGAUGGAUCCGCGCUGCAUUAGCUAGUUGGUAAGGUAACGGCUUACCAAGGCAACGAUGCAUAGCCGACCUGAGAGGGUGAUCGGCCACACUGGAACUGAGACACGGUCCAGACUCCUACGGGAGGCAGCAGUAGGGAAUCUUCCGCAAUGGGCGAAAGCCUGACGGAGCAACGCCGCGUGAGUGAUGAAGGUCUUCGGAUCGUAAAACUCUGUUAUUAGGGAAGAACAUAUGUGUAAGUAACUGUGCACAUCUUGACGGUACCUAAUCAGAAAGCCACGGCUAACUACGUG